CUAAUUUGACUCAACACGGGAAACCUCACCAGGCCCGGACACCGGAAGGAUUGACAGAUUAAUAGCUCUUUCUUGAUUCGGUGGGUGGUGGUGCAUGGCCGUUCUUAGUUGGUGGAGCGAUUUGUCUGGUUAAUUCCGGUAACGAACGAGACUCUAGCCUGCUAAAUAGGCGCCGUCAUUUCGGUAAGCGCGGCUCGACCGCGCUAAUCACUGACGGCGUAAAACUAAUCUUCUUAGAGGGACCGGCGCCUUUGAGGCGCACGAGAUUGAGCAAUAACAGGUCUGUGAUGCCCUUAGAUGUCCUGGGCCGCACGCGCGCUACACUGAAGGAAUCAGCAUGUCUUCCUUGGCCUAGAGGCUCAGGAAACCCGUUGAAUCUCCUUCGUGCUGGGGAUUGGGGUUUGCAAUUGUCCCCCAUAAACGAGGAAUUCCUAGUAAGCGCGAGUCAUAAGCUCGCGUUGAUUACGUCCCUGCCCUUUGUACACACCGCCCGUCGCUACUACCGAUUGAAUGAUUUAGUGAGGUCUUCGGACCG
rnacentral:rRNA from 1 species